rnacentral:misc_RNA from 1 species
GAUGAAGAACGCAGCGAAAUGCGAUAAGUAAUGUGAAUUGCAGAAUUCAGUGAAUCAUCGAAUCUUUGAACGCAGCUUGCGCUCUCUGGUAUUCCGGAGAGCAUGCCUGUUUCAGUGUCAUGAAAUCUCAACCACUAGGGUUUCCUAAUGGAUUGGAUUUGGGCGUCUGCGAUCUCUGAUCGCUCGCCUUAAAAGAGUUAGCAAGUUUGACAUUAAUGUCUGGUGUAAUAAGUUUCACUGGGUCCAUUGUGUUGAAGCGUGCUUCUAAUCGUCCGCAAGGACAAUUACUUUGACUCUGGCCUGAAAUCAGGUAGGACUACCCGCUGAACUUAAGCAUAUCAAUAAGCGGAGGA